rnacentral:tRNA from 1 species
GCCGAGAUGGCCGAGCGGUCUAAGGCGUUGGACUUAAGUUCCAAUAUCGAAAGAUGCGUGGGUUCGAACCCCACUCUCGGCA